GGAGUGGUGGUUCAGUGGUAGAAUUCUCAUCUUCCAUGCCACAGACUUGGGUUCGAUUCCCGGCCAAUGCA
rnacentral:tRNA from 1 species